UACGAAGGCAGGAGCCUGCUAAAAACGAUUAGGCCUGCGAAAGGGUUAACCCGAACUCCAUUAAAGAGGAGGGGGGGAAAAAAAGAUGGUGAGCUGGGCAGAUGGAGAAAGCAAACAAGAGGCAGAAGUUGAACUCUACCAGAUGGAAAUAAAUAUCCUGAACUUAGCUGGUCAUCAAUAUUGCAAAACACUGCUGAGCCAAAGGGUAUAGAAAUGAAGGGAAAAGUACAAUUCACCAUAAAGCAGUAGGAGAAAAAUAUUUGUUGUUUGAAUGAAAUAUGUAAAACUGGGCUUGAAAGAAUAGCUUCUAGGUUAUUUUUUCAUUUGUAUACAAUAAUUAUAGGCAGUUACAUGUGAAAUAAAUACUUUAAAAGAUAGUAAAACUGAAUUAUUUAAAAGCAUUGACAUGAAAGUGUUUUCUUUGAAUAAAUACAUCAGUGCAUCAAAAAUAAUGGUAAAUAGAUACAUUCGUUUCCUUCUAGGACUCUACAGAUAGAACUGUGCUUAAAAGUAAAUGUCAUGGUAAUUACUUCCCUAGGGAUGUGAAACCUCCUGCACUACUCAAAAUGGAGAUAGGGAAACAAGUAAUCCUUAAAAUUACCAUAGCCCUAGAUCUAGAUUUUCUGAUAUCCUUCUAACCCCCACCACCCUUACUCAUCUGCUCUGUUCAUUUCCCGUACACCAUCAGUCAUUCGAGCAUUAGAUUAGAAAUCAGGUGGGUUUUUCUUCUUCAAAAAUUUUGAGCUUAAACUGACUCAUCUACAAAAUAGAAAUAAUGAAAUUAACAAAAUAUUAGGAUCCGAAUUAAUUCCUGUCUCCCAGCCCAUGUUUUCUCCACUACUUUUUUUUUCUUUCAUUGAAAUGUAUUUGAGGUAGAAUAUCAUGCUAGGUUCAAGUGUACUACAUAAUGAUUUAAUAUUUGCAUACAUUACGAAAUGGCCACUACUUUUUACUGCCUUCCCAGACAGCAGCUGGACCCUUUCUGAAUGCUUCUUAAAAUCAGUAGAAUAGAGUUAACAGAAAGUUGAACUCAUAUUCUAGAAGGGGUUUUCCUCCCACUGUUUUCUAUUGUAUGUGUGUGUUUCCCACUUUAAAUCGUUCCUUUAAGAGAUAAAUGGAUUUAAGAAAUUACUCUUUUACACUAGGGUGAUCUAGGGAGUACUCAGGAGGGAAAAAAGGAGGUAAAUGUUGGUCCUAAAUGCAAGCUUUGGAUAGUAGACAAUGUUAAUAGCUAAUGGUUUUCAAAUCGGGACAUAUAUAUGUUUAAUAAUAUUUUUCCAGAAGUUUGGUAAGGCUGUUCCCAUCCAAGAAACUAGGAGGUAUUUCUUGACAUUUUGAAUUUGUAAAGGCACUUUCUCUCAUCUUGUUAAUAUGCUAAACUACAGGGUACUCCCAACUACUUACAAACCCAACUCUUCAUUCUGUGUCUUUAGGCAAGUUAUUUACUUCUCUGCAUCGUAAUCUCCAAAAAACGGAAAGGUUGCUAUGAGGACUAAGUGGAAUAACUGUUGUUUAGUCGCUCAGUCGGGUCUGACUGUUUUUGACCCCAUGGACUGGCAGGCUCUUCAGUCCUUGGGAUUUCCCAGGCAAGAAUACUGGAGUGGGUUGCCAUGUCCUCCUUCAGGGGAUCCUCCCAACCCAGGGAUCAAACCCAGGUCUCCCACUUGGCAGGUGGAUUCUUUACUAUCUGAGUCAGCAGGGAAGCCACAUAUAUAGACAGAAAACAGACAGAGUGGGACAAGGAGUGAGAACUGUUCUUUCUCCUGCCUUCUGAAAAUAUCACUCAGGCGCAUCUGACUCUUUGCGACCCCAUGGCCUGUAGCUUCUAUCCAUGUAAUUCUCUAGGCAAGAAUACUGGAGAGGAUUGCCUUUCCCUUCUCCAGGAGCUCUUCCCCACCCAAGGAUCGAACCUGGGUCUCCCACAUUGCAGACAGAUUCUUCACUGUCUGAGCCACCAGGAAAGUUCUUAGAUAGAUAGAUAGGUAUAUUAAAUUGCCUGUGAUAAUAUAUAUAAUUAUCAAAUUAAUUUCUAAAACCUAUAAAAUUUUCAAAGCAGUAUUAAAAAAAAAAAAACCUUAAGGGAUAAGUCAAAACAAUCCAAAAACCUGGUUUCAAAAUAAAUCUGCAAGUGACAAACGUCAGGUCUUUGGAGUGCUUAAGAAUUCAGAAUUCUAUAGAGGAAGCUAUCAGGCAACUAGAAUCCUCAAAGGGCUGGAUUAUAUUCCCAUCCCUUAGUUCAGUUGUUACCUGAACAGUUUGCUCUGAACUAACAAAUCACAGCUCCCUGUAGACUUUUUGAGUAGUUGUGUUAACCAAAAAAGGGAGAGAUUAAAAAAAAGAAAAUUUUAUAUAGGGUGAGGGAAUGAGCUUCUUUCUCUAUUUCAUAGACUAGUAAAAUUUAGGAAUCAACACAAGUUUGAAAAUCUUAUUUUGCCAAAGAUGUUAUUUAAAGAAUUACAUUAUCACCUGCUGUCACUAUCAUUUUGGGGUAAAGAUGACGUUUUAACACCCCCAAAGUAAGAAAGGUAUCCAUAUCAGAAAAUAAAGCAUGGUCUUUUUAAGUGAAUAAAUUUUUAAGUCACUAAAUGUCACCUUUUGCAUUUCAGCGUUUGGGAACUCAUCAAAACUAUUAAUCUAUGAAUAAGAGAGCACUAAAUUAAUUUUUUAUGCUAUUCAUUGGAUAUGCUAUUCCCACUGCCUGGAAUAUCCCCUCCCCCUUUUUUUUUUUCCUGGCUAAUAUCUGCUUAUCGUCCAAGAAGACUUCCCUGACUCUCUGGACUUGUGUAAGUGUCUACAGUAUUCUGCUUCCCCUUGCCCUCACCCUGGUACUGAUCAGACAUAACUAGAUUUACUAUGUUUACUAAUCCCUUUUCCUUUCUGGUCUGUAAAUUCUCAUAGGGCAAGCAUCUUCCAUCAUUCACUAUUGUGAAUGCCUAAGAAACACACAAACACAUAGUAAAUGCUGUUGACUGAUGUUAAAUAGACAUCUAAAUAAAAUGAGUCCAUCAAAACCAUGACUUGCAAACACACACACACACACACACACACACACCCCACAAAAAAAAACAGUAACAAAAAACAGCGUGACUUGCAGUUUGUCAGCUGACAGAUCACACAGAGCAAGCUGUCUUGCUUAAAAUCGGACAGUCAGUAUUUGAGAAGAUAAGUAACUCACCUCUGUGGCACUGUCUUUCUGGCUCCUGUGAGUGUUAGAUUACUCCAUAGUGUUUUAGAUAAAUGUUGUUUUGGGAUAGGCUGCAUUUCCAAAGCAAAUGAAAUGGAGACCAAAGUCACUUGGAUAUGCUGCUUAAGAAAUACUGUGGAAGUCUCCACAUCGCUCCCAUUUAAGGCUUCUUAUCUUAUUUCUCCACGUGUUAUGUAGACACAUUUUAGUAUUUUUAUAUAUCAGAUUACACAGGGGUGUCAUUUGCCACUCUCACAUUGCCCUUCUAUCCUGAAGUUGUUCACAAGGAGCCCUUCCUAAACUCCAGGCUUCCACUUCAUCCCUGUGAUCCUGGCUUCCUGCAUUAUUGCAAAGGUUUUACUCCUUAUCUGGCCCCUCCCUCCCCAAAGGCACCUUUAGGCCCAGAGACUCCCUUGCUGAGCUGGAUGAGCCUCUUUGUUGCUGAAGGCAUUCACUAAAGUUAUUAUCUAUUGUGUCCUCUGUUGUGAAUUUACUUCCAGAGUCCUACGUGUCCUUGGUGCUAGCUUUAGAAAACUGACAGCUGGUUCAAGCAGGAGAGUUCUUUACAGAGUGUUAAUAGCAAGUAGAGACAGGGUAUUUAUUUUGGGGUGUGUAUGGGGGCAGAAGGAGAUAAGGAAGCCACUGCCCAAAGUGAGUGAUCUCUCUGAUCAGUGAAGUUGGCCCAUAGAUAGGUCUCUGGAAGGAAGAAAAAGAGGGGACCUGAUCUGGAAGUAUUUUAAAGACUUAAACCACUAUGAGGAAGAUAAAUAUUGCUGAAAAAACUGGUGAGUAAAUAGGGCCAUAGUUACCUGGCAGUGAGGGGGAGAGUUGAGUGUUCUGGGCAGGGAAGUGAAAUUAUCAGAUUUAUUUUUUGGAGUCCUAUGGAUGAUGAAUUAAAUUGGGCUCAUUUGAAGUGACUUCUAUUUUUGUCUCUAAUUCUUAUUUAAAUCUUUAAAUAAUUUAGCUUUCAUCUCUUCAGCUAGAGACUUAAUGCCUUUUGUUUAUUCUUUUCUUGAUUAUCCAUGGGAAGCAGACCACUUUUAGGAGCCUCCCCACCUGCCAACCUGUUUUGCUUUGCUUAGAUAUGAAUUCAAGGGCACAAACUAAGACCCUUGUACUAGGUUUAGAUCAAGAAACAUAAGAGAACUAGAAAUCAGACAGUGACAAGUAUAGAUUUGGGGCAAAACUGUUCUUCUUGUUAAAGCAAUUGGGAAAAAGGAUUAAAGAGUUGCUUCUGAGUAGUAGUAACAAUGAUCAUACAAAUUAACAUCAUUGAAGGUGAACCAGACACUGUAAGUAUUUUAUUUUAUUUUUUUGCAUUUGCAAAGUCAAUUCAGUCAUGUCUGACUAUCUGUGACCCUAUGGACUGAAGCCUGCCAAGCUCCUCUGUCCGUAGGAUUUUACAGGCAAGAAUGCUAGAGUGGGUUGCCAUGCCCUUCUCCAGGGGAUCUUCUCCAUCCAGGGAUCGAACCUGCAUCUCUUAUAUCUCUUGCAUUGGCAGACAGGUUCUUUACCAUUAGCACCACCUGGGAAGCCCAUUUUAUUUUUACUUUUCAUUUAUUUAUGUAUCUAUUUAUUUUUGGCCAUGCCACUCCACUUGUGGGAUUUUAAUUCCCCAACCAGGGAAUGAACCUGGGCCCUCAGCAGUAAGACCAUAUUGUCCUAACCAGUGUACCACCAGAGAAUUCCCGUGUACUAAGUAUUUUAGAGGCAUCCCAUUUAAUUCUCCCAGAAACACCACCAGGUAAGUAUAAUUGUCUGCAUUUAACAAGUGAGGUUUCAAUCCUAAAGAAAAUAAGUAAUUUACUCGAGGUCUUACAACCAGAUUUAAACCCUCAAGUCUACACUAUAAAACUUGGAGGUGAAUUCCUGAUACUACCUUUUCUAAAGGGAUCAUGAGAAAUAAAAUCUUAUAAAGGUAUAAAACAUUUUGGAAAUUAGUAGAGAUGGUAGAAAGGAAAAAAAAAAAAAAAACCAAGGCAGCUUAGAAGCGUUCUCAUGGCUGACAUAUCCUGGAAAAUACAGCUAUAUUUCUUAAAAGGCUCACUGAAAAAUGAAUCAAAGGACAUAUUAGAACAUUAAUCUGCCAAAUAAAAUAAGUUCACUGGAAUGAAAACUAUCCCUAGGGGCAGAUAAGAGAAAGCAGAAAAAAAAAAAUACCUUCUAUUUUAGACUAUUUAGUAUCUUGCUUCUCCUUUGACUUAAAUUGGCAGAAGGAACUAGGAAGUGGGUCGGCCCCACAGUCCUUCUCCGACAAUUAGUGGAGUCCAGUGAGCUUUGAGGGCGUCAGUGAAAGAGCUGGAGAGCAGCAAGAAGGGUUGCUUUUGUGUCUGUCUCUUUCUCGCCAGCUUCCCUGGUGGCUCAGUGGUAAAGAAUCCUCUUGCAAUGCAGGAGAUGCAAGAGACAGAGGUUCCAUCCCUGGGUGGGGAAGAUCCCCUGGAGGAGGGCAUGGCAACCCACUCCAGUAAUCUGGCCUGGAAAAUCCCAUGGACAAAGAAGCCUGGUGGGCUACAGUCAAUAGAGUUGCAAAGAGUCAGACAUGACUGAGGGUGUAACAUGCUUCUCCUUCUCCUUCUUCCUUUUAGCAGACCCUAUGAUUUUACUUACUUUUUUUCUUUUUAAAGCUGCCAUCAUCUACUCUGUCUCCUGGGGCAAUCCCCCACUGUUCAGGCUUAUUGGAUGUUUAUCUGCAUCUUCUCAGCACCAACAGUCUUCUUCAGUUUUACGGUUUAACAACAGUGUGAGGAAAGAGACAGAUGAUAAGAAUCAACUUUGGAAAAUUAAAAGCCUUAAGGAAUCAUACAAAGUUCUUAAAAGUUAUGGCCCUGGCCUAACUAGAGUAGUUAUAACUUUCUGAAUAUGGAAGACACGGACCUCCCUUUCCUGCCAAACCCAUAGGGCAGCCAGGUUUCAAAGUGUGAACCCAGGCUAGCCAUCUCAACAUCACCCCAGGAAACUGAUAGAAAUGCAAACUUUUGGCUCUAGACCUACUAAUAGAGAAACUCGAAGGGUGGGGUUCAACAGUUUAGCACUAAUGUUCCAGGACAACUGCUUUAAAAAGUAAUGGCAACAUUUCUACAAUUUAAAUUCAGCAAAUGGGACUUACUUCCCCCAUGGCACAGUGAAUGUAGAAUCCAUCUGCCAAUGCAAGGGACAUGGAUUUGAUCCCUGGUCCAGGAAGAUUCCACAUGCCUUGGAGCAACUGAGCCCGUGUGCCAUCACAGCUGCUGAAGCCCAUAUGCCUAGAGCCUGUGCCCCACAGCAAUGAGACGCCUGCGCACUGCAACACAAAGUAGCCUCCCAUCACUGCAGCUAGAGAAAUCCCACAUGCAACAAUGGAGACCCAGGUCAGCCCAAAACUAAGUAAAUAAAUCUCUCUUCUCACUAAAGAUAAGUAAAUAAAACCAGCAAACAAACUUCAUAGCCAGGCAUAUACUGCCUCAAAUAGAAAUCUUAUCUCUUAAAAGAAAAAAAGUAGCAUACUAAUUUAAUAUGUAAAAGCUGCCUUUUAAGUAUCAAAUAUGUUCUAAGUGAGUGGUUAUUUGCUUUUCUGAGGUUCUGCAGUCUGGGUAAGAUGCAUUUUUCUCAGCUUCUGAAACAAUAGGCAAGUGAGUAUACAGUGAUGUCCCUAUGUUACUCUCAAAAGAGAAGCUAAUACUCAGGAAGCUUGAUAAGAUAAACAUCUAAUCAAAUGUUGGUAUAGUGCCUGCCUUUAUUUUCACUUUUAGGAAAAGCAGCAACUUGUCCUUUUUAAGGAACUUGAAUUUAAAAUAAGUAGGGACUUCCCUGGAGGUCCAGUAGUUAAGACUCCAGGCUUCCACUGCAGGGAGUAUGGGUUUGACCCCUGGCCUGGCCCACGUGCAGACCCUACAUGCCACUCGAUAGGGCCAAAAAGGUUUAUAUGCAUUAAGUAAUGUCGCCUCAUCCCUUUCAAACGAAAUGUCCAGCUAAAACAAAGGAGCAUCCAAGUUGCAAAAGUAAGUGUGAUAAAUAAAUAUGAAGCCCUAUAUAUAUGUAGAUAUCCAACGUGAUUGUGAAAACCAUCAUCAUGCAUUUGGAUAUACUUUAGCAGGAAUUCAAGGGUUGAAAUCCCAUUGGAAAAUGCAAUUUAGGAUGUAUUCAUCUCUAAGGCAUAGCAAAUUAGAUACAAAUUCCUGAAAAAGACUAGAGUCUAGCUAUAGAGAAAUCCUCUAAAGAAAAAAAUGGAAUGGGCAGGCUGUGAUUAGCAUGUCAAAUUGCAUUAUAUUUUCUAAAGGGAAUAAAGUAAGAAACUUCGUAUUAUCUUAUGUUCUUAUCCACUUGGCUAGUAAAUUCUUAUAUAUGAAGCUAAACCAAUCUUCAGCCUAGAUAAUAUUUAUAAUACAGUUUGAUGUAGUCAAAUUGGAAAGCAAAGGGUCCAUCAUUAGCAUUACUGCAUGUGCUGAAAACAUUCUAUAUUUGCAUGUGUUUUAAUAGAAGUCUCUUUAAAUCUUUCCAUCAUUUUCAACAAAAUAUAGGAAACAUUCUCAUCUUCUGAAAACUGAUUUGAAGUUUGUGAUGACUGCCAUCAAACUCAAGAAAUGGUCUGUCUCCCUGUUGUUUUUAAUGUCUGACCUUACUCUUUAUUGCACAAGUAGAUUUCACACACUGAAACUGUAGUAAGAGAUACAGCACUCAGGAAUGGAUCUCCCUGUAGAAACAAACUUCUCUGUACAAUCUUUAGAUGGUAGGAGCUGUAAGAGUUAAAAUGAGCACUUUUAUCUUUAUCCUUGAAAAUUCUAUCCUUAGUCCCCCUUGAAUGGAUGAUCUCACCUUUCUGAAAAAGAGCUUUAUUGAGAUAUAUUUUACAUAAAAUAAAAUUCAUCCAUUUCAAGUGUACCUUUCAAUAAUUUUGAGAUAACUGAUCAACUUGUGCAACCAUCACCAUAAUCAGUUUCAGAACAUUUUCAUCUCCCUCAACAAAAUCUCAAUCUUAACCCCAGCACUCCCAGUCCCAGGAAACCAAUAACCUACUUUCUGUCUAUAGAUUUGCUCAUUCUAGACAUUUUAUGUAUGGAAAUCAUAGAAUCCAUGGCCUUGUUGUGGGAAAAUAGAACACAGAGAGGAUGGUCAUGUCCCAGGUCUCAGGCGAGGCCCUGGGACAGGCCACCAAGUGAGGUUCCUUGGUUUCCCUCAGGAAAGAAUUCAAAAGGAAACCAUAAGGAUUUACUUAGAGAGAUACACAUUCCAUAGGCAGAAUGUGGUCCAUCGCAGAAGGCAAGUGCUUAGUCAUUCAGUUGUGUCCAACUUUUUGUGAUCCCAUGGACUAUAGCCCACCAGGCUCCUCUCUCCAUGGGAUUCUCCAGACAAGAAUACUGGAGUAGGUUGCCAUUUCCGUCUCCAGGGCAUCUUCCUGACCCAGGGAUCAAAACCGCGUCUCUUACGUCUGCUGCAUUGACAGGCGGGUUCUUUAGCACUAGCACCACCUGGGAGGCUCCUCAGAAGGCAAGUCAGUCAGUCAUUCAUUCACUCAGUCAUGUCUGACUCUGCGACCCCACGGACUGCAGCACUCCAGGCUUCCCUGUCUAUCACCAACUCCCAAAGCUUGCUCAAACUCAUGUCCAUCAAGUCGAUGAUGGCAGCCAACCAUCUCAUCCUCUGUCAUCCCCUUCUCCUCUUGCCUUCAAUCUUCCCCAGCAUCAGGGUCUUUUUCAAUGAGUCAGUUCUUUGCAUCAGGUGGCCAAAGUAUUGGAGUUUCAGAAGGCAAGAGUGGCCACCAAAUAUGGGGUGGUUAAUUUUUAUGGGCUGGGUAAUUUCAUAGGCUAACAAAUGGCAGGAUUAUCCCAACUAUUUUGAACAAGGAGCAGUGAUUUCAAAGAAUUUGGCCACUUUUUGGCUUUUUAUGGUUGGCCUUGGAACUGUCAUGGUGCCUGUGGCUGUGUCAUUCAGCAUGCUGGUAUAUUGCAAUGCGCAUAUAAUGAGGCUCAAGGUCCACAGGAAGUCGAAUCUUCUGCCAUCUUGUACCUAGUAGGUUCUAACCAGUUUAUGUUGCGUCCUUAACAGCUAUGUCUUUCUUUUAAUGGAUGUGCCCUGUCCUCUUGCCCUCUGUCUCAGACUUGUAUCAGACUUCUUCCACUUGGCAUAAAGUCUUGAGUUUGAUCCACAUUCAGCAUGUUGUUUCUCUGUUUGCUUGCUUAAUUAUUUUUCCUGUUGUAUCAUACCAGAAUUUCCUCUUGACUGAAAUGCUACAUUAUAUGCUACAUUGUUAUAGCUGCCUGCUAGGCUGAUGGGGGCCAGUGGCGGUGGGGGGGUUCCACAUCCCUUUUCCAUGGCCCUUCCAAAGGCAAUGCCAAAGAAUGCUCAAACUACCGCACAAUUGCACUCAUCUCACAUGCUAGUAAAGUAAUGCUCAAAAUUCUCCAAGCCAGGCUUCAGCAAUACGUGAACUCCCUGAUGUUCCAGCUGGUUUUAGAAAAGGCAGAGGAACCAGAGAUUAAAUUGCCAACAUCCGCUGGAUCAUCGAAAAAGCAAGAGAGUUCCAGGAAAACAUCGAUUUCUGCUUUAUUGACUAUGCCAAAGCCUUUGACUGUGUGGAUCACAGUCAACUGGAAAAAUCUGAAAGAGAUGGGAAUACAGACCACCUGACCUGCCUCUUGAGAAAUCUGUAUGCAGGUCAGGGAGCACCAGUUAGAACUGGACAUGGAACAACAGACUGGUUCCAAAUAGGAAAUGAAGGACGUCAAGGCUGUAUAUUGUCACCCUGCUUAUUUAACUGAUAUGCAGAGUACAUCGGGAGAAACUCUGGACUGGAAGAAACACAAGCUGGAAUCAAGAUCACCGGGAGAAAUAUCAAGAACCUCAGAUAUGCAGAUGACAUGACCCUUAUGGCAGAAAGUGAAGAGGAACUAAAAGCCUCUUGAUGAAAGUGAAAGAGGAGAGUGAAAAAGUUGGCUUAAAGCUUAACAUUCAAAAAAUGAAGAUCAUGGCAUCUGGUCCCAUCACUUCAUGGGAAAUACAUGGGAAACAGUGGAAACAGUGUCAGACUUUAUUUUGGGGGGCUCCAAAAUCACUGCAGAUGGUGACUGCAGCCAUGAAAUUAAAAGACGCUUACUCCUUGGAAGAUAAGUUAUGACCAACCUAGAUAGUAUAUUCAAAAGCAGAGACAUUACUUUGCCGACUAAGGUCCGUCUAGUCAAGGCUAUGGUUUUUCCUGUGGUCAUGUAUGGAUGUGAGAGUUGGACUGUGAAGAAAGCUGAGCGCCAAAGAAUUGAUGCGUUUGAACUGUGGUGUUGGAGAAGACUCUUGAGGGUCCCUUGGACUGCAAGGAGAUCAACCCUGGGAUCUCUUUGGAAGGAAUGAUGCUAAAGCUGAAACUCCAGUACUUCAGCCACCUCAUGCGAAGAGUUGACUCAUCGGAAAAGACUCUGAUACUGGGAGGGAUUGGGGGCAGGAGGAGAAGGGGACGACAGAGGAUGAGAUGGCUGGAUGGCAUCACGGACUCGAUGGACAUGAGUCUGAGUGAACUCCGGGAGAUGGUGAUGGACAGGGAGGCCUGUCGUGCUGCGAUUCAUGGGGUCGCAAAGAGUCGGACACGACUGAGCGACUGAACUGAACUCACCUCCCCUUUAGACAUUUGUCUACCACCUGUAAAGCCUUCGAGAUGUCAUUUUUUCAUGGGUAGAUGAGCCACUCCUCUCUUAGGUCAUUGCCUGCUCCAGAAUUAAUGACUUAUUCACUUAAGGUGCCUGGCAUAUUCCCCACACCCACACCACAACAUCACACUCCACGCAGAAUAAGCCAAAUGAAUUGAGAGAAAAAGCCCUUUCCUCAAGAUAUUUACCUCAGAGGAGUCCUCAGGGGAGGCAGACAUUGCAGGUCGGAAAGAGGAUAAUAAGGGCACUCCAGUUACAUAACCCAACUAAGAAUGAAAAUUUUCAGAUAAUUUAGCUGAGAGGACUUAGCUCAACAGUUAAACUCUUAACAGAAGCUUUAUUUAAGCUUAUUCUAACAAACAGGAUCAGCAGACAAGUUCUUUUUAAAGAAAGUUCUCUUUCAUCUGACUAAAAAGAAGGAACACAUUUAAACCAAAACAGGAACUACUCUGGCAAUAUAUGUGUAAAAAAAAUAAGCACCCUAUGGGGCUCUUUUUAAAUUAGCCAGAGCGCACAGAGAACUCUUUGAAAAGAAAACUCUGGGGGGAAAAUAUUUUUCUUGAUUUCAUAAACACUCAUUGUUUAAUCAUCUGAAGCAAGUGCAGACUUGUGAUUAAGUUCCCCCACCUCCUAAAGGGAUGAGCUCUUUUAAGUCCCCUCCUCUCCCAUCCACCCCCACCCCUUGGCUCUAUUUAAGGAGGCAAGAGAAGUAAUUUGAAAACCAGCCUAUCAUAGAAGCAAGAAGUGACCCAGCAGGUCCUAGUUUCAAACUAGAUACACAGAGGCAAGGCUAUGUCCCACACUUAACAGCUCAAGAAGCUCCGAGUUUUUACUGAAUUGCUUCCGCAGUGUACUAAUCAAUGCUAAUAAGUUGUUCGCAUUCCAUAAGGAGUGGAUAACUGACUCCAGUUUAGUUUGCUGCUUUAAAAAAAGAAAAAACAAGUGACUUCAAGGACACCAUCCCUCCCCAACCCCUCUUUCCCACAUUGAAGGCAGUCAUAUAAUUUAAUUCAGGACACUCAGAACCACCAGUUGUAGCUUUUAUUCUUAGCAUUUUUUCAGAUCUGGACUUGCUCUAAUGAGAAAAGUUAUGAGUCUUAAACAGGAUCAAGUUAUAAUUACUCAAAAUGAGGCAACUUGACAUGAAGCAAAUAUCUAACAGAUUUUUUUAAGUGAAUAAAAGCCUCACACAACAUGUAAAGAAAGAAGAAAGAAUUUUUACCAGGAAUCUGGGUUUGGAGAACAUUCUUGUAAAUAAGAAAUACAUUUACUUUUGAACUUCUUGGCGUCCAGGAGAAAGAGAAACACAACAGACUAUUUUUCUUUGCUAACUUAAAAGACACUAUUCCCUCCAAACUAUAUUAGCAUUAAAUUCUGAUACAUUUAUCAAUUUACAACAUGGAACAAUUUUACAUAAUUUUAUAAGAAAUUCAGGAAAACAUUUAGGUGGUACAUUCUUACUUUAACCCUCCUAUCAAGAGCUGAGAAUAAGUUCACUGUUAAAUAUCUGAUGUAUGAGUGUCCUGUGGUGGUCGUAAGUUCAUCUCACAGAUUUGAUUAAGCAUUGAAGGUACUAGCUAAGCAUGGAAGGUCUAGCCAUAAACAGAACAGACUGGUCCCGCACAUAUGGAAUCUGAUAGGAAGACAGAAAUUAAAUAGUGUAAGUGUGACAUUUUUAUAGCAUACUCUUAAAAUUACUGUAAAAGAGAAAUUUGUUGUUGUUUUUAGGCACUAAGUCCUGUCCAACUCUUUUUGUGACCACCACAGGCAACUCUGUCCAUGGGAUUCUCCAGGCAAGAAUACUGGAAUGGCUUGCCAUUUCCUUCUCCAGAGGAUCUUCCCAACCCAGGGAUCCAAACUGCACCUCUUGCAUUGCAGGUGGAUUUAUUACUGCUGAGCCAUACAGGUGCUCUGAAUGUCUAACUUUUAGAGAGACGGGACAGAAAAAAAAAACAAUCAAAAAAAUCUUUCCCACAGCAACAAGAAGUCAGAAAUCUGAAAAUGAGUAGGAAUUAACCCAUAUAACACCUGGGGGGUGAAAAUUGCUCUCUGGACUAAGGAAACAAAUUUACAAAGAGGACAUAGGUUUGCCCAAAGCAGAAUCAUGUGGUCCUAACGGGGAGUGAGAAGAAACAGACCAAAGUAUGUGAGGCUAGAACCGGAGGCACCUUGUAAAUUGGAUUUAAGGUGCAUUUAAGAUGUUAAUCUUAUCCAAAGAAUAAGGAAGAAAUCACCCAAGAGUUCUAAGUGUAUUAUUAUACCCAUUAAACACCAGAGCAAUGAGAAGUCUGGUAUUAGAAAAUUAGAAAGCGACAAUUCAUUCUUGAGGUUUUAUUUCUUAUUUGCUUUGUAAGAGAGCUAUAGGAAACCAAGGCCGCUUCUCUUAAGAAGCUUCUUUAAUGAGUGAGUGAAGUUGGUCAGUCAUGUCUGACUCUUUUGCGACCCCAUGGAUUGUAGCUUACUCUGUCCAUGGAAUUUUCCAGGCAAGAAUACUGGAGUGGGUUGCCAUUUCCUUCUCCAGGGGAUCUUCCCAACCCAGGAAUCAAACCUAGGUCUCCUGCACUGUACAUAGACACUUCUUUAGAAGCGUCUUUAAAGAAGCUUCUUUAGAUCUGCUCAAAUAUUCAAUAACACUUGCAACUCUAGAAAUUUAGGUCAGAUGGGCAAACUUGUUGAAAUAGAGAGUCAGAAUAUACCUUGUGACUUUGUGGGCUAGAGGAUCUUUGUCACAUGUAUUCAACUCUUUGCUAGUAUAGUGUAGAGGUAGCCAUCAGCUAUAUGAGCUUGGCUGUGAUCCCUUGAAAUUUUGUUUGAAAACACAGGAGGUAAUGGGUUUAGCCCUGGGGCAAUACUUUGCCUAUCCUUAACCUAGAUCAAGUAGCAUUAAAGACAUGAUCUGGAUGGAAGAUUCUGGAGGCUAUGGUAAACAUCUAAGUAAACAAACCUUAAACAGAAUAAUUGUACUUCCUUGGGACUUUGAUUUUGAGGAGGACCGUGUUGGGACUUGGGACUAUAAAACAGGAACAAACAAAUUGCACCUCCUAUGAGCUAAACAGAUUGACCUUGUGAACAGAAUUAUCAUCUGUGUAGAUUGUGAGGAAUAUGAGUUCCUUAGAGGCAAGUAUUUGUGUCUGUUUUGUUCAGUUUUUCUUUUUAACCCCUAGCUGAAUCCAUGGACCCUCAAGUUUUGUCUAUAGUGUCAUAUGCUAAUGGCUAAUAAAAGAUGUAUUUCACCAAAUGAAUGUUCAGUUAACGACUUUUCAGCAAUAUAAUUCGUAAAAAAGUCUUUUGGCAAACUUCGUUUUAUGCCCAAUAUAAAGAAAACUUUACCCAAAACGCACGAAAUAUAUACAGUAUGAGAAACUGUGUCACUAUUAUGAUUGCAGGCAAAGACACACUCAUCAAGUCACUCAAAAGAGGUUUUUGUAGUCAGAAUAUCUUGGGAAACAAAUUUAUAUCAGAACAAAUUGCCCUGUUCUGAUGAACACAAACAUGUUUGCUUUGCCUGUGAAUGGACAUGAACUUGAGCAAACUCCAGGAGAUAGUAGAGGUCAUAGGAGCCUGGCGUGCUGCAGUCCAUGGGGUCGCAGAGUUGGACACGACUUAGCAAUGGAACGACAACAACCAAGCUAGAGAUGAAGACAUAGCAUCUUCAUUUCUGACAACCCUUUGGUCUGUUGUGUUUUGCUUUUAUUUUUGCUGUAGAGAUAAAAUGUUAAGCUUAUUUUAAGCAAAAUUUGACCUCAGUAACAAUGAACCUCCAGAAGAUUGAAAAGUCUAUGAAGAAAAUAAUGUGCAAAGAAUAAUGAGAUUUCUAAUGUCAAACGCCCUCAUCUUUCCCUGUACGUACAUCAUCCAUUAUCCAGUCUUCACUCCUUCUUUGGCAUAAGAUGUGGUCAUUUAGGACUUCCCUGGUGGCGCAGUGGACAAACCGUGAAGCAACGAAGCCUGUGUGCCACAACCUCUAAACCUGGGAGCUGCAACUGCAGGAGCUUGCAUGGUCUGGGGCCUAGGAGUGAUGACCGAUGAAUCUCUGUGCCACAACGACCGAAGCCUGUGCACCUAGAGCCUGUUGUCUGCAGCAAGAGAAGCCAUCCCAGUGAGAGGCCCAGGCACCACAAUGCACCACAAUGCCCUGCUCUCCACCACUAGAGCAACGAAGACCCAGCACAG
ensembl:lncRNA